UACGUAGGGUGCGAGCGUUAAUCGGAAUUACUGAGCGUAAAGCGUGCGCAGGCGGUUCGUUAUGUCCGAUGUGAAAGCCCCGAGCUCAACUUGGGAAUGGCAUUGGAAACUGGCGGGCUGGAGUGUGGCAGAGGGGGGUGGAAUUCCACGUGUAGCAGUGAAAUGCGUAGAGAUGGUGGAGGAACACCGAUGGCGAAGGCAGCCCCCUGGGCCAACACUGACGCUCAGGCACGAAAGCGUGGGGAGCAAACAGG
rnacentral:rRNA from 1 species